AAUUUUGGACAAUGGGCGCAAGCCUGAUCCAGCCAUGCCGCGUGAGUGAAGAAGGCCUUCGGGUUGUAAAGCUCUUUCGGAUGGGAAGAAAUCGCGCAAGCUAAUACCUAACUGUGUUGACGAUACCAACAUAAGAAGCACCGGCUAACUACGUGCCAGCAGCCGCGGUAAUACGAAGGGUGCAAGCGUUAAUCGGAAUUACUGGGCGUAAAGCGCGCGUAGGCGGUUGGUUAAGUUGGGAGUGAAAGCCCCGGGCUCAACCUGGGAAUUGCGUUUAAGACUGGCGAGCUAGAGUACGGUAGAGGGGGGUGGAAUUCCAUGUGUAGCGGUGAAAUGCGUAGAGAUAUGGAGGAACACCAAUGGCGAAGGCGGCCACCUGGACUGAUACUGACGCUCAUGCACGAAAGCGUGGGUAGCAAACAGG
rnacentral:rRNA from 1 species